CGUCUGGGUCCUGCGCAAUGGGAACCCAUGAACCAUGUCAGGUCCGGAAGGAAGCAGCAUUAAGUGGACUCUCUCAUGUGCCGCGGGGUAGCCUAGGCCGAGC
rnacentral:SRP_RNA from 1 species